UACGAAGGGGGCUAGCGUUGUUCGGAAUUACUGGGCGUAAAGGGCGCGUAGGCGGCCUUCUAAGUCGAACGUGAAAUCCCCGGGCUCAACCCGGGAACUGCGUCCGAUACUGGAAGGCUUGAAUCCGGGAGAGGGAUGUGGAAUUCCAGGUGUAGCGGUGAAAUGCGUAGAUAUCUGGAGGAACACCGGUGGCGAAGGCGGGUCUCUGGGCCGAUACUGACGCUGAGGAGCGAAAGCGUGGGGAGCGAACAGG
rnacentral:rRNA from 1 species